CCAGCAGCUGCGGUAAUUCCAGCUCCAAUAGCGUAUAUUAAAGUUGUCGCAGUUAAAAAGCUCGUAGUCGAAUGUGUGCAGAUUAGUUGCUUUGUGGGCGCCUCUUGGCAGCAAUGCUUUGGGGGGUUCGUUUGGCAAGGUUUUUAAUGGUACGUAGCUUGGAUGUUUAAAGUUUUGUCGGGUGCUUAAGUGUGCUCGGCGGGGCGGCAUCCUGAUUACUGUGAAAAAAUUAGAGUGUACCAGGCGGUCGGUUCGGUUCGACUGAAUAGAUUAGCAUGGAAUGAUGGAAGAGGACGCGGUUUCCACUUUUGUUGGUCGGUGGAGGACGUUGUAAUGAUUAAGAGGGACAGUUGGGGGCAUUCGUAUUUAAUAGCUAGAGGUGAAAUUCAAGGACUUAUGAAAGACGGACUUCUGCGAAAGCAUUUGCCAAGGAUGUUUUCAUUGAUCAAGAACGAAAGU
rnacentral:rRNA from 1 species